GCUUUACUGUCAUAUUGGAGAUACUGGAGAUAUGGUGAAACACAGGACAAGUGUGCGAUCUACGAAACAUAGAGUAUGUGUUCGUCGGAGGACCAUUGGUGGUGCUACCAAAGUUUCUGUUUUGAGAAACGUUUCACAUCCACCUGUAACUGUGGAUGUUACACCUGUCACCACCACAUCAUCUCUGGAUGAACAUUCAGAGGCAGAACCAAGCAGCAGUUGCAUGUCCGAGACUGCUUACACAAAAGCAAAGAAGAAGGAGCUCAGGGCCUGGGACUCAUUGAAAGAGGAUAUGCUGCGGGUAUCUUAUGAGUCAUCAGCACCAUCUACAAAUAUCUGUGCUCUCUGCAAAGAGCAUGCAGAGUAUAGGUGCCUUGAGUGCAGCAGUACUAAUAUGUUUUGUGAGACCUGUAUCACAAAAACCCACCGCAAUUCCUUGCACCUACCAGAGAAAUGGAAUAAAACAUUGUAUGUGACAUCUCCGCUUGAAUUAGCACUACGCUUACCAGGAGAACAUUGUUCUCAUGCUGUGUACGCAAGAGAUAUGAAAAUAUUUGUGAACACAGGCCAGUUGUGCAGCUUCAGCGUGACUCUUUGUACAUGUGAACCAGAAACUUGCACCCUGCUCAGAUAUGGAAUCUGGCCUGCGACACCAGAGAGGCCUCAAACAGCGUUCUCUAUAGCUCUUUUGGAGCUUUUUCAUUAUCUGUCCAUGGAAUGCCAGGUGUCUGUUGAGGGAUUCUGCAAUAUGUUGCGGUGGAAAAACAAUCUGUCUCUUUCAGAGGUUAACAUGCUCUACAGAGCUCUGGUGGGAGAAUCUAUAUCCCAGUUUCGCCACCACCACUUUAGAUGCAGAAGUUUAUCUGGUCUUUGUCCCUCAUUUGAUGAUGGAACAACAUGCCCAGUAUGUCCUAAGAGUAACGGCAAUCUGAUUGUAACAAUGGAUGCCAACUUUGGCCUUGUUCGAAAAAGAAGUUCAGGAAGUAGUUUGGUGGAGCCGUUGCAUGGUAACAGAAUGUUUGUGAGGGAAGAAGAUGUGCAAGAAUACCUGUCAUCCCAUCCUGAUGGUUCCAAGCCAAAUGAAGACUGUAGUAAUUUCAAGGCAGGGAACCUGCUUCGUUCUCAAAAAAACCAACAAAAACUAGAUGUAACAGGGGUGUUUGGAGUCUCUUGCCGCCAUGAGAUUCCGUUGGUGUUUUUGAACAUGACCCAGGGAGAACGGCUAGCAUAUCCAAUGUAUAUAAUCAAAGAACUCCUAACAAGGAAUCAGGGCAAGAACCUCAAUCUGCAUGUCAUAUAUGACAUUGCAUGUGUACUUUCAUCACACAUGCAUAAAAAAGCAGAAGCAAUGCAACAAGGCGUAUCUCUGGCUGUUCCAGCAUUUCAUGUUUUUGGUCAUAAAUUACAGUGUCAGGUUCUGUACAGUACGAGAAGAUUAAAAGGCUUUGGGCUAACAGAUGGAGAAGGUAUGGAGAGGUUGUGGUCCUUCCUUAGAAGAUUUGCUCGUAUUACAAAAGAGAUGAGUCCAUCCCACCGGCUUGACCUCUUGACUGAAGCACUUCUUUAUUAUGGGAGGAGAAAAACAGCGGAUAUAGAAGUGCAGCUCCAUCACAGAUGGGAAAAAGCAGAGAAGGUCGCUAAUCUAGCUAAAGAGGAGUUAGCUGCUGUCUUAAAAGAGGCACCAGGUAAACCUUUAAUAUUGUACUUUUAUUCAGUUAAGUGUUACACGAAUUGACUAUUCUGUUAGUCAAGAUUCUCAGUCGUCAAAGUUUUCUUAACAAGAAGGCAAGAAGGACAUCCAUGACUGACCUUCAAAAUGACUAAUACAUUCUUUUUUAGCGAGUGUUUCAGAGCACACUGUACAGAGAUGGAUGGAAACGGAGAACGAAGUUGCUAGAUUGACAGUUUUGAAAACCAAAAUAGCAGGUAUCGCGUGUGUGUGCGUGUGUGUGUGUGUGUGUGUGUGUGUGUGUGUGUGUGUGUGUGUGUGUGUGUGUGUGUGUGUGUGUGUGUGUGUGUGUGUGUGUGUGUGUGAUCUUGUUCAUAAUUUAACCAUAAUAUCUUGACCUUUGUUCUCUAGACAGUGUUCCCAAAUGGAAGAGGGUGUAUGUGACAACGCUGAUUGAGCUCCAGCAGCUCAAGUAAGACAGUAACUGUUGUACUUUGAAAAUUGCAUCAAUCUAAAUGAAUGCAAGAUUACUUCACUGUAUUUCAUGUUAAAAAAAUGUGACCCCAACAAUAAAUAUGUAAGCAUCUUUCUUUUAAGUGCGUUG
ensembl:lncRNA